GACAGAGGGUGCAAACGUUGUUCGGAAUUACUGGGCGUAAAGCGUGUGUAGGCGGUCCACUAAGUCGGGUGUGAAAGCCCUGGGCUCAACCCAGGAAGUGCACUCGAAACUGGCGGGCUAGAGUAUCGGAGAGGUUGGUGGAAUUCUCGGCGUAGAGGUGAAAUUCGUAGAUAUCGAGAGGAACACCGGUGGCGAAGGCGGCCAACUGGACGAAUACUGACGCUGAGACACGAAAGCGUGGGGAGCAAACAGG
rnacentral:rRNA from 1 species